GAGUUUGAUCCUGGCUCAGAACGAACGUUGGCGGCGUGCUUAACACAUGCAAGUCGAACGAGAACGGUUUCGUUCGGAGACCUAGUAAAGUGGCGCACGGGUGAGUAACACGUAGAUAACCCUGUCCAGGUGUUCGGGAUAGCCCUUCGAAAGGGGGGAUUAACUACCGGAUACGUUAGUCUGUUAUAAGGCAGAUUAAGAAAGGUGGCCUCUAUUUAUAAGCUAUCGCAUUUGGAGGGUCUGCGUACCAUUAGUUUGUUGGUGGGGUAAAGGCCUACCAAGACUUCGAUGGUUAGCGGGUCUGAGAGGAUGAUCCGUCACACUGGCACUGAAAACACGGGCCAGACUCCUACGGGAGGCAGCAGUGAGGAAUAUUGCGCAAUGGGGGAAACCCCUGACGCAGCGACG
rnacentral:rRNA from 1 species